UACUCUCUAUUCAACUCGUUUCUAAUGAGUUUGAAUAGGAUUUGGAGGUCUGCCGGUGUUUACCAUCGGCUCCUCUUAAAUGCAUUAGCGCGAAUGUUUACCAAACAUUCCUCAGUGUGAUAAUUGUCUACGCUGUGGUAAGUGAGGUUUCAUUAGAUUCACGCUUCUAAUCGUCCUUUACUGGACAAUACUUUUGAC
rnacentral:misc_RNA from 1 species